AUUGAACGCUGGCGGCAUGCCUUACACAUGCAAGUCGAACGGUAACGGGCCUUCGGGUGCCGACGAGUGGCGAACGGGUGAGUAAUACAUCGGAACGUGCCCGAUCGUGGGGGAUAACGAGGCGAAAGCUUUGCUAAUACCGCAUACGAUCUACGGAUGAAAGCAGGGGACCGCAAGGCCUUGCGCGGACGGAGCGGCCGAUGGCAGAUUAGGUAGUUGGUGGGAUAAAAGCUUACCAAGCCGACGAUCUGUAGCUGGUCUGAGAGGAUGAUCAGCCACACUGGGACUGAGACACGACCCAGACUCCUACGGGAGGCAGCAGUGGGGAAUUUUGGACAAUGGGCGCAAGCCUGAUCCAGCCAUGCCGCGUGCAGGAUGAAGGCCUUCGGGUUGUAAACUGCUUUUGUACGGAACGAAAAGCCUUCUUUUAAUACAGGAGGGUCAUGACGGUACCGUAAGAAUAAGCACCGGCUAACUACGUG
rnacentral:rRNA from 1 species